rnacentral:piRNA from 1 species
UGAGCAGAUGCUUAACGUGCAGAACA